CCUACGGGGGGCAGCAGUGGGGAAUAUUGGACAAUGGGGGGAACCCUGAUCCAGCCAUGCCGCGUGUGUGAAGAAGGCCCUCGGGUUGUAAAGCACUUUCAGUGAGGAAGAACGCCUGGUGGUUAAUACCCAUCAGGAAAGACAUCACUCACAGAAGAAGCACCGGCUAACUCCGUGCCAGCAGCCGCGGUAAUACGGAGGGUGCGAGCGUUAAUCGGAAUUACUGGGCGUAAAGCGCGCGUAGGUGGCUUGAUAAGCCGGUUGUGAAAGCCCCGGGCUCAACCUGGGAACGGCAUCCGGAACUGUCAAGCUAGAGUGCAGGAGAGGAAGGUAGAAUUCCCGGUGUAGCGGUGAAAUGGGUAGAGAUCGGGAGGAAUACCAGUGGCGAAGGCGGCCUUCUGGACUGACACUGACACUGAGGUGCGAAAGCGUGGGAGCAAACAGGAUUAGAUACCCUGGUAGUC
rnacentral:rRNA from 1 species